AUGGCGGAGACCGCCGCCGCGACUCCGCCUCCUGCUCCACCGCCAGCGACCCGCCCGAAGCUGUCGGGUGGACUGGAGCCGCUGGACGCGCGCAUCAAGGAGCUGACCUCGUCGCAGGGGGAGCUGCUGGCCAGGAUCCAGAAGCUCAAACAGGACGUGCAGAAAUGGCGCUCCGACGUUGAGGCGCAGGUCAAGACCUGCCACAACGAGCUUGUGGAGGUGAAGGAGGGCCUCGCUUCUGAAGUGCAGCACCUGAAAUCCGACAUCAAGGAAAUCAGGGCUGCUCUCCAGGAAGAGAAGGCAAGCUCAAAAACGGAGCAAGCCAGGAAGACACAAGACCAGGUACUCAAAACCGGUGAUGAACAGACGGAGCAACAAACAGCGGUGCAAGCAUGA
rnacentral:rRNA from 1 species